UACGAAGGGGGCUAGCGUUGUUCGGAAUUACUGGGCGUAAAGCGCGUGUAGGCGGGUCUUUAAGUCAGAGGUGAAAUCCCAAGGCUCAACCUUGGAACUGCCUUUGAUACUGGGGAUCUUGAGUCCGGGAGAGGUGAGUGGAACUGCGAGUGUAGGGGUGAAAUUCGUAGAUAUUCGCAAGAACACCAGUGGCGAAGGCGGCACUCUGGGCCGGUACUGACGCUGAGGAGCGAAAGCGUGGGGAGCGAACAGG
rnacentral:rRNA from 1 species